GGGGGUGUUUCAGAUUCGAUUGGGCGACCGCGAUAAAAAGUAAGCAUACCGAAGUCCCGACUUCGUUAAAACGGGAACUUUAAAAUUAAAUGCUAACAAUAACAACGAAUUAGCAUACGCUGCUUAAAUUUUAGCGUACGUUCCUCCCGAUUUUUCCCGUCGGGUCGGGAAGGGGCGUCAUUGAGACGGGGAACGGCCGUAAAGAUUUUGCCGCGUCUUUGCGGCGGCAUUAAGCGGACUUGGUUAAAUCAAAGGUUGCCGAUGACCGUGAUUUUUCCGAAAUUCAAUAUCGGAUAAGUAUGUAGAAAGUUUUAUCAAAGCGUUCAAGACCGGAGUGCAAGUCUCCGCAUCUCCACCA
rnacentral:tmRNA from 1 species